rnacentral:rRNA from 1 species
AUUGAACGCUGGCGGCAUGCCUUACACAUGCAAGUCGAACGGCAGCACGGGAGCAAUCCUGGUGGCGAGUGGCGAACGGGUGAGUAAUGUAUCGGAACGUGCCCAGUCGUGGGGGAUAACGCAGCGAAAGCUGUGCUAAUACCGCAUACGAUCUAUGGAUGAAAGCGGGGGAUCGCAAGACCUCGCGCGAUAGGAGUGGCCGAUAUCAGAUUAGCUAGUUGGUGGGGUAAAAGCUUACCAAGGCGACGACCUGUAGCUGGUCUGAGAGGACGACCAGCCACACUGGAACUGAGACACGGUCCAGACUCCUACGGGAGGCAGCAGUGGGGAAUUUUGGACAAUGGGCGCAAGCCUGAUCCAGCAAUGCCGCGCGCAGGAUGAAGGCCUUCGGGUUGUAAACUGCUUUUGUACGGAGCGAAAAGGCUCUCUCUAAUACAGGAGGCUCAUGACGGUACCGUAAGAAUAAGCACCGGCUAACUACGUGCCAGCAGCCGCAGUAA